rnacentral:rRNA from 1 species
UAACGCGUGGGAAUCUACCCAGUAGUGGGGGACAACUACCGGAAACGGUAGCUAAUACCGCAUACGCCCUAUGGGGGAAAGGCUUCGGCCGCUAUUGGAUGAGCCCGCGUCAGAUCAGCUAGUUGGUAGGGUAAAGGCCUACCAAGGCAACGAUCUGUAGCUGGUCUGAGAGGACGAACAGCCACACUGGGACUGAGACACGGCCCAGACUCCUACGGGAGGCAGCAGUGGGGAAUAUUGGACAAUGGGCGAAAGCCUGAUCCAGCAAUGCCGCGUGUGUGAAGAAGGCCUGCGGGUUGUAAAGCACUUUCAGUUGGGAAGAUGAUGACGUUACCAACAGAAGAAGCACCGGCUAAAUCCGUGCCAGCAGCCGCGGUAAUACGGAUGGUGCGAGCGUUAAUCGGAAUUACUGGGCGUAAAGCGCGCGUAGGCGGCUAAGUCAGUCAGAAGUGAAAGCCCCGGGCUCAACCUGGGAAUUGCUUUUGAUACUGCUUAGCUAGAGUUUGGUAGAGGAUAGUGGAAUUCCAGGUGUAGCGGUGAAAUGCGUAGAUAUCUGGAGGAACAUCAGUGGCGAAGGCGACUGUCUGGACCAAAACUGACGCUGAGGUGCGAAAGCGUGGGUAGCAAACAGGAUUAGAUACCCUGGUAG